CAACCCUCAAGCACUGCUUGGUGUUGGGCCCUGCCCGUCGCGGCCGGCCCUAAAGACAGUGGCGGCGCCGUCUGGCUCUAAGCGUAGUACAACUCUCGCUCUGGAGCCCUGCGGUAGCUUGCCAGAACCCCUCUAUUUUCUUAC
rnacentral:misc_RNA from 1 species